rnacentral:rRNA from 1 species
GACGAACGCUGGCGGCGUGCCUAAUACAUGCCAGUUGAGCGAUGAAGCUUGGUGCUUGCACCAAUUUGAAGAGCAGCGAACGGGUGAGUAACGCGUGGGGAAUCUGCCUUUGAGCGGGGGACAACAUUUGGAAACGAAUGCUAAUACCGCAUAACAACUUUAAACAUAAGUUUUAAGUUUGAAAGAUGCAAUUGCAUCACUCAAAGAUGAUCCCGCGUUGUAUUAGCUAGUUGGUGAGGUAAAGGCUCACCAAGGCGAUGAUACAUAGCCGACCUGAGAGGGUGAUCGGCCACAUUGGGACUGAGACACGGCCCAAACUCCUACGGGAGGCAGCAGUAGGGAAUCUUCGGCAAUGGACGAAAGUCUGACCGAGCAACGCCGCGUGAGUGAAGAAGGUUUUCGGAUCGUAAAACUCUGUUGGUAGAGAAGAACGUUGGUGAGAGUGGAAAGCUCAUCAAGUGACGGUAACUACCCAGAAAGGGACGGCUAACUACGUG